rnacentral:tRNA from 1 species
UCGGGUAUCGUCUAACGGCAGGACAACAGGUUUUGAUCCUGUGAAUCGUGGUUCGAAUCCAUGUACCCGAACCA